CCUAACACAUGCAAGUCGAACGAAGCAAUUAAGAUGAAGUUUUCGGAUGGAAUCUUGAUUGACUGAGUGGCGGACGGGUGAGUAACGCGUGGAUAACCUGCCUCACACUGGGGGAUAACAGUUAGAAAUGACUGCUAAUACCGCAUAAGCGCACAGUGCCGCAUGGCAGUGUGUGAAAAACUCCGGUGGUGUGAGAUGGAUCCGCGUCUGAUUAGCCAGUUGGCGGGGUAACGGCCCACCAAAGCGACGAUCAGUAGCCGACCUGAGAGGGUGACCGGCCACAUUGGGACUGAGACACGGCCCAAACUCCUACGGGAGGCAGCAGUGGGGAAUAUUGCACAAUGGGCGAAAGCCUGAUGCAGCGACGCCGCGUGAGUGAAGAAGUAUUUCGGUAUGUAAAGCUCUAUCAGCAGGGAAGAAAAUGACGGUACCUGACUAAGAAGCCCCGGCUAACUACGUGCCAGCAGCCGCGGUAAUACGUAGGGGGCAAGCGUUAUCCGGAUUUACUGGGUGUAAAGGGAGCGUAGACGGCGAAGCAAGUCUGAAGUGAAAACCCAGGGCUCAACCCUGGGACUGCUUUGGAAACUGUUUUGCUAGAGUGUCGGAGAGGUAAGUGGAAUUCCUAGUGUAGCGGUGAAAUGCGUAGAUAUUAGGAGGAACACCAGUGGCGAAGGCGGCUUACUGGACGAUAACUGACGUUGAGGCUCGAAAGCGUGGGGAGCAAACAGGAUUAGAUACCCUGGUAGUCCACGCCGUAAACGAUGAAUGCUAGGUGUUGGGGGGCAAAGCCCUUCGGUGCCGCCGCAAACGCAGUAAGCAUUCCACCUGGGGAGUACGUUCGCAAGAAUGAAACUCAAAGGAAUUGACGGGGACCCGCACAAGCGGUGGAGCACGUGGUUUAAUUCGAAGCAACGCGAAGAACCUUACCAAGUCUUGACAUCCCCCUGACGGGCCGGUAACGCGGCCUUUCCUUCGGGACAGGGGAGACAGGUGGUGCAUGGUUGUCGUCAGCUCGUGUCGUGAGAUGUUGGGUUAAGUCCCGCAACGAGCGCAACCCUUAUCCUUAGUAGCCAGCACGUGAAGGUGGGCACUCUAGGGAGACUGCCAGGGAUAACCUGGAGGAAGGUGGGGAUGACGUCAAAUCAUCAUGCCCCUUAUGAUUUGGGCUACACACGUGCUACAAUGGCGUAAACAAAGGGAAGCGAGACAGUGAUGUGGAGCAAAUCCCAAAAAUAACGUCCCAGUUCGGACUGUAGUCUGCAACCCGACUACACGAAGCUGGAAUCGCUAGUAAUCGCGAAUCAGAAUGUCGCGGUGAAUACGUUCCCGGGUCUUGUACACACCGCCCGUCACACCAUGGGAGUCAGCAACGCCCGAAGUCAGUGACCCAACCGAAAGGAGGGAGCUGCCGAAGGCGGGGCAGGUAACUGGGGUGAAGUCAUAAC
rnacentral:rRNA from 1 species